rnacentral:rRNA from 1 species
AUGGCCGACGAAAAUACAUGCCAUCUAUGCGGAGCCACGGACACAUGGAGACAUGCGCUGUUGAAUUGCUCGAUGUCAAGGAGUAUCUGGGCUUUAGCUCCAGAUGAAUUUGUUGAAAAGGUGAUAAGGUGCCAGCAUGAUAAUCCGAAGCAGUGGUUGUUUGCUCUACACGAUAUGCUACAAGCUGAAGAGUUCACUCGCCUUGUGGUUACAGCAUGGGCGAUAUGGAGUGCAAGGAGGAAGGCGAUCUAUGAGGACAUUUUCCAGUCUCCAUACUCCACGAACGGCUUCAUCAUGAGUUACUUGUCAGAACUGUAA